rnacentral:rRNA from 1 species
AUGAACGCUGGCGGCGUGCCUUAGGGCAUGCAAGUCAAGGGGCCCUGAGAGCAAUCGAAGGGAACCGGCGGACGGGUGAGUAAUACGUGGGAAUCUACCUUUAAAAGUUGGACAUAGCUGGCCGAAAGGUCAGGUAAUUUCCAAUGUGAAUGCAAAUUUAAAGCCGCAAGGCGCUUUAAGAUGAGCCUGCGUCCUAUCAGCUUGUUGGUGGGGGUAAGAGGCCUACCAAGGCAACGACGGGUAGCUGGUCUGAGAGGAUGGUCAGCCACAAUGGGACUGCGACACGGCCCAUACACCUACGGGUGGCAGCAACCGGGAAAUAUUGGACAAUGGACGAAAGUCUGAUCCAGCGACGCCGCCGGUGGAGGAUUGAAGGUCUUUUUUGAUUGUAAACUCCUUUUAUCAGGGAAAGAUUAUGACGGUAACCUGAAGAAUAAGCACCUGCUAACUACGUGCCAGAAGCCUCGGUAAUACGUAGGGUUGCAAGUGUUAUCCGGAAUCACUGGGCGUAAAAGAGUUGCGUCGGCGGUUAGGUGCAUUUCAAUUGAAAUUCUACGACUCAAUCGUAGCUUGGGUUGAAAUAUGACCUAACUAGAAGAUGUCAGGGGGUGUUGGAACUAAUGGUGAAGCAGUGAAAUGCGUUUGAUAUCAUUGGGAGCGCCAAAGGCGUAGGCAGGCACCUAGGACAUUCUUAACGCUUAGGCACGGACAGCUUGGGGAGCGAAGCAGAUUAGAGGGACCUGCGUAGUCCAAGCCGUAAACGAUCUCUGCUGGUUGUUUCUCGAUUUUCGGGGAGUGACGAAGCUAACGCGUUAAGCAGAGCGCCUGGGGAGUACGAGCGCAAGCUUAAAACUCAAAGGAAUUGACGGGGAGGCGCACAAGCAGUGGAGCGUGUGGUUUAAUUCGAUUCAAAGCGAAGAAACCUGACCCAGGGUUUUGACAUGGAAGUGGCAAGCGCACGGAAAACGUGUGACCCUUCGGGGGUCUUCCACAGAUGGUGCAUGGCUGUCGUCAGCUCGUGGCGUGAGCUGUUCCCUUAAGUGGGUCAACGAGGCGCAACCCGCAUUGUAUGUUAAAUAAUUCAUGCAAAAACAGCCCGCCUUUUUGGCGGGAGGAAGGGCGCGGAUGAUGUCAAGUCUGCAUGCCUCUUACACCCUGGGUAACACACACCCUACAAAUGGACAAUAACAACGAGUUGCAAGCUGGUAACAGCAAGCUAAUCUCUGAAAUUUGUCCUCAGUUCAGAUUGAGGUCUGAAACCCGACCUCAUGAAGGAGGAAUUGCUAGUAAUCGCGAAUCAGCAGGGUCGCGGUGAAUACGUUUCUCGCCUCUUGUACACACUGCCCGUCAAGGCAGCAAAGUUGGGGGCACCCGAAUCCCGUUUUUGGCGGGGAGAAGGUGAAACCAGCGAUGAAGCUU